AAGACUAUACUUUCAGGGGUCAUUUCUACAGUAUGUUACUAGAGAAGUUUCUCCGAUUGUGUCAAGUACCAGAAACCACGAGGAGGAGUUUAGUGUUCUCUCCUGAGCAUGAAGUUGGUCCUAGAUGUUGCAUUACUGCAACUGCCUUUUGCCAUUGAUGAUCAUUCUUAAUUCUCUUUAGAGAUUAAGAGGGAGAGAAUACAAUCUGAGUGGUC
ensembl:snoRNA